CCCUCAAGAUGAGAUCUCCUAGCAGAAAUGUGAGAGACCCCUUAGAGACGAUGAGGUAGAUAGGGCAGGGGUGGAAGUGCAGCGAUGCAUGGAGCUGACUGCUACUAAUCGGUCGAAAGCUUGACCUA
rnacentral:rRNA from 1 species